rnacentral:lncRNA from 1 species
CGGAGGAACAUCUGUGUGAGGUUUUGUGUUGGAAACUUUGGCCUGUCUCUAUAUCCCUCAAUGUGACCCCAGGUGAACUAGAGGACCAGGAAAACAACUCUCUGAAUGUGACCCCAGGUGAACUAGAGGACCAGGAAAACAACUCUCUGAAUGUGACCCCAGGUGAACUAGAGGACCAGGAAAACAACUCUCUGAAUGUGACCCCAGGUGAACUAGAGGACCAGGAAAACAACUCUCUGAAUGUGACCCCAGGUGAACUAGAGGACUUGUAAAACAAUUCUCUGAAUGUGACUCCAGGUGAACUAGAGGACCAGGAAAACAACCCUCUGAUAUCU